CCUGUGAUGAACAUAUUGUUCUGUCUGAUAAUUUUGAUGUGAAAAAUAUUAUCCUCUAAGAAGUUCUGAUGGGA